rnacentral:rRNA from 1 species
AUUGAACGCUGGCGGAAUGCCUAACACAUGCAAGUCGAGCGGAGUAGCAAUACUCAGCGGCGGACGGGUGAGGAAUACAUAGGAACUUGCCUUUAGGUGGGGGAUAGCUUGGGGAAACUCAAGGUAAUACCGCAUGAUCUCGCAAGAGCAAAGGUGCGCAAGUCUCGCCUUGAGAGAGGCCUAUGUCUGAUUAGCUAGUUGGCGGUGUAAUAGACCACCAAGGCGACGAUCAGUAACUGGUCUGAGAGGACGAUCAGUCACACCGGAACUGAGACACGGUCCGGACUCCUACGGGAGGCAGCAGUGGGGAAUAUUUGACAAUGGGCGAAAGCCUGAUCCAGCAAUUCCGCGUGUGUGAAGAAGGCCUUCGGGUUGUAAAGCACUUUAGUGAGGGAAGAAACAGCUUGGCCACACCAAGCCUUGGCGGUACCUCAAGAAUAAGCACCGGCUAACUCUGUGCCAGCCGCCGCCGUAA